rnacentral:snRNA from 1 species
GUGUUCACUUCAGCAGCACACAUACUAAAAUUGGAAUGAUUCAGAGAUUAGCAUGACCCCUGUGCAAGGACGACAUGAAAAUUCAUGAAAUAUUCCUUUUUUUU